rnacentral:tRNA from 1 species
AGCUCUUUAGUUUAGAUAGAACUUCUGUUUGUGGUGCAGAUGGGUCAGGAGCUA